GACGAACGCUGGCGGCGUGCUUAACACAUGCAAGUCGAGCGAGAGCGUAGAGAAAGCUUGCUUUUUCUACAAUCUAGUGGCAAACGGGUGAGUAACGCGUAAACAACCUGCCCUACGGAUGGGGACAACAGCUGGAAACGGCUGCUAAUACCGAAUACGUUCCGAAAGUCGCAUGACUAUCGGAAGAAAGGAUGGCCUCUAUUUAUAAGCUAUCGCCGGAGGAGGGGUUUGCGUCUGAUUAGCUAGUUGGAGGGGUAACGGCCCACCAAGGCGACGAUCAGUAGCCGGUCUGAGAGGAUGAACGGCCACAUUGGAACUGAGACACGGUCCAGACUCCUACGGGAGGCAGCAGUGGGGAAUCUUCCGCAAUGGGCGAAAGCCUGACGGAGCAACGCCGCGUGAGUGAAGACGGCCUUCGGGUUGUAAAGCUCUGUUAUACGGGACGAAUAAUCUUGUGGUUAAUACCCAUGAGAAGUGACGGUACCGUAAGAGAAAGCCACGGCUAACUACGUG
rnacentral:rRNA from 1 species